UCAUCUUAAGAGACACUUUAAAAUAAUUAAAAUUUUACAUGAGGGUUUUUUCACAACUCCUAAAGAGCUAAUUUUUUUAAUUUUUUUUAGAACAACAUGUAUUUUAUACAUUAUAUAAGAGUCCCGUAAUGUUAUAUUUUUAGCAUGGAAAGAGAGAAAAAUAUGGCUAAAAUCAAGUUUGUGUAUGUUGUAGUUUUAUUUCUUUUUCUUUUUCUUGUUCCAGAGAAAAUUGACGCUGCCCCCGAGGCAGGAAAUUGUGUUACUGAUCAUGACUGUCCAAGAAGAACUAUCUGCAUAUAUGACUGCAUUAAAAACAAAUGCAAACAGAAAAACAAAUGCACACAUGAUUGAGUGGUUGGAUGUUUUUGAAUAAAUAUAAGGCAUAACAGGUUACAUUUACGUCAUACAAGGAAGAAUACAUUCUUGUACUAGCAAAAAAAUAUUUUCAAUAUACUUUUUGCUAGAAAAUUUCUUAAUUUCAACUUAUGUAUUGUGAUGAGUCCCAGUAAUUUUAUUUUUAUUUUUUUAAAUA